rnacentral:lncRNA from 1 species
CUUUAAUGAUUGGGUUAGGAUUUUAAAUUUGGAAAAGAAUAAAAGAUUUAAUUUUUAACUUAAAAGUAUAAUGACCGCAUCUUGAAUUUUGUAAAAGUAUAGGGACUAAAAAUAUAUUUUAAACUUUAUUCUUUAGAUUUUUCGUUGCAAAUUCCUAGUGGGUCUCUUUCAUUUUAGUAUUGAUUUGGACUUGUAUUUUGCCUUCACAAACCAUCCAAC